GUCCCCAUCGUCUAGUUGGUCCAGGACGUUGGCCUCUCACGCCGAAAACAGGGGUUCGAGUCCCCUUGGGGACGCCA
rnacentral:tRNA from 1 species